CUUUACUGUAGCCUGGUAUUGGGUUCGGGCUUUGACUGCGCAGGAUAGGUGGGAGACUGAGAAGUGUGCCUUGUGGGGCACAUAGAGUCAACGGUGAGAUACCACUCUGUCAGAGCUAGAAUUCUAACCUUCACCCGUUAUCCGGGGAAGGAACCGUAUCAGGGGGGCAGUUUGACUGGGGCGGUCGCCUCCUAAAGUGUAACGGAGGCGCGCAAAGGUGUUCUCAGGCUGGUUGGAAAUCAGCCGUAGAGUGUAAAGGCAGAAGAACGCUUGACUGUGAGAGUGACAACUCGAGCAGGGUGGAAACACGGCCUUAGUGAUCCGACGGUAUGUGCGUGGAAAUGCCGUCGCUCAACGGAUAAAAGUUA
rnacentral:rRNA from 1 species